rnacentral:rRNA from 1 species
CCUACGGGUGGCAGCAGUGAGGAAUAUUGGUCAAUGGACGAAAGUCUGAACCAGCCAUGCCGCGUGAAGGAAGACGGCCCUAUGGGUUGUAAACUGCUUUUAUAUGAGGAUAAAACAAGGUAUACAUAUCCUUUUGUAUGUAUCAUACGAAUAAGGAUCGGCUAACUCCGUGCCAGCAGCCGCGGUAAUACGGAGGAUUCGAGCGUUAUCCGGAUUUAUUGGGUUUAAAGGGAGUGUAGGAGGUCUGAUAAGUUAGUUGUGAAAGCUUGAGGCUCAACCGUAAAAUUGCCGUUGAUACUGGCAGUCUAGAGAGCAGUAGAGGUGGGCGGAAUGUGUGGUGUAGCGGUGAAAUGCUUAGAGAUCAUGAAGAACACCGAUUGCGAAGGCAGCUCAC